UUGCGCAGCCCCAUCUCCUCGUGCGUUUCGCGCAGCGCGGCGUCGGCGAUGGAUUCGCCUUCCUUCACAUGCCCUUUGGCGAAAGCCCAUUUCCCGAACGGGUCCAUGAUGAAAGCGACGCGCACCCCUUUGGGAGUGCGCUUGAAGACGAUGCCGCCAGCAGAAAUUUCCACUUUCACGCGAUCCGACCCCUUUCGCGGCACUUCUCUGGAUGUGCGCUUGAUGUUGG
rnacentral:misc_RNA from 1 species